rnacentral:lncRNA from 1 species
UUGACUGCAUCAGAGUUCCCAGGACGAGUGAACUUCCAUCCAUUGUUGUAAGUGUCAGAACACUGCCUGAAGAGGCUUUCUUGAAAACGUAUGGACGUUCUUAGCUUGGAGUUCACUUGCCCCUGGAAUUGGGCACGAAAGACAAGACUUUCUUGAGCACAAGGUCACCUUCUCGGAACACACGAGGCUUGACCUUCUUGUUGAAUGCCUUUUCACUCUCUGCUGAUAUGACUGACCAUGACACAUGGCAGUUGAUCUCUUCUUU